rnacentral:rRNA from 1 species
ACGGAAGGCAGCAGUGGGGAAUAUUGGGCAAUGGGCGAAAGCCUGACCCAGCAACGCCGCGUGAAGGAAGAAGGUCUUCGGAUUGUAAACUUUUGUUGUUAGUGGAGAAACAGGACUGUAGCUAACGAGAAAGCCCCGGCUAACUACGUGCCAGCAGCCGCGGUAAUACGUAGGGGGCAAGCGUUGUCCGGAAUUACUGGGCGUAAAGGGCGCGUAGGCGGCAUAUUAAGUUAGAUGUGAAAUUCCCGGGCUUAACCUGGGCGUUGCAUUUAAAACUGAUAGGCUUGAGUGCAGGAGAGGAAAGUGGAAUUCCUAGUGUAGCGGUGAAAUGCGUAGAUAUUAGGAAGAACACCAGUGGCGAAGGCGGCUUACUGGACUGAAACUGACACUGAGGCACGAAAGCGUGGGGAGCAAACAGGAUUAGAUACCCUGGUA